UAUUAAAAAUUUCAUUUAUUUAUACUAUUAAAAACUGACGUGGCUGAUAUGAUAACUAGUUAGUGAUACAUGACAUGCUACAUUUACCACAUAUUGACGUACAUGGGCUAGUCUUUAACAGCUGGAAUGGAUGAAAUUUUUAAUA
rfam:Gossypium raimondii Chr08_contig_711, whole genome shotgun sequence.